rfam:Myotis lucifugus cont2.6505, whole genome shotgun sequence.
GACGGUUCUUGGGUGACAAAACCUAGAAUUGGGCUCCCUCCUCUCAGGUUCUGGGUGCAUCACCUGAGAACUGCC